rnacentral:sRNA from 1 species
UCUUCGAUACAUCGAUAUUUCCGACCAUUGCAUCGAUGACUUGAACGAAAGCACAUCGAUAUUAGUAGUUUUGGUCAGUCAAAAAAAAAACAUUGAACGGGAUGGACGCGUUUGUUGUUAUUUUUUAGUUCUUACAUUUCCGUCGUCGUUUGUUGUUUUCUUGUGUUGCCGAAGAUAUAAAUAAGUUUCUGCAAAUAAAUUACACGUUGCAAUCAAGUAUAUAUAUCUAAAUAAUUAAUACGUGUGUGAUUGUACAAAAAGAAAUACAAAUAAAUAAAAAAAUAUAUAUAUAUCUAUAUCAAAAUAAAAUCAAUUAAAAGGUGACUUAAAGGAUUACCAUAUCAGAAUUCUUCAAGAAGAUUUAUUUAUUUUUAUUGGUUGGUCAUGACGACCAUGGCAGAGGAUGGGCAUGGCACUGCUUCUAUGAGGUGUUAAUUGGACUCUUCCCGCUGCUCAAAGCACGCAAAGCAAAACACAAAAAAAAAAAAAAAAAAAAAAAAAAAAAAA